rnacentral:rRNA from 1 species
UACAGAGGGUGCGAGCGUUGUUCGGAAUUACUGGGCAUAAAGCGCGCGCAGGCGGCCUUUUAAGUCCAUCGGUGAAAUGCCGGGGCUCAACCCCGUUGCAGGCCGAGGAUACUGGGAGGCUGGAGACACGUAGAGGCAAGCGGAAUUCCGGGUGUAGCGGUGGAAUGCGUAGAGAUCCGGAAGAACACCGGAGGCGAAGGCGGCUUGCUGGGCGUGAUCGUGACGCUGAGGCGCGAAAGCGUGGGGAGCGAACAGG